UUGGGGACUGCUGGGGUGCCAGUAGGAAGGAGCUGGACAGGCCAUUUGGAUGAUCUUGGGGCCUCCAGCCUUUACAGAAGGGCCACACCUGUUCAGUGUUUUCCAUUUCAGCUCUGGAGUUGGGUCCACUUCCAGGUAGAGAGUAGGGAGAGAGAGGACAGGGAAUGAAAUAGGAAAAACACCAGAAACCGAGAAUGGGAAAGUCAGAGACAAAAUAAAUUUUACAAAAGCCAAGACAGAGAAAAGGUGUUUGCUUUCCAGACAAAUUAUUUCAUUUCAUCUUUACAACCUUGGGAGGUAGUUUCUGUUUACUCCAAAUUGACAGAUGAGGAAACUGAGGGCAAAUGCAGUGCUUCUCAAAGUAUAGUUCAAGAGCCAGCCUGGGAGGUCACAGGAUGAAAGGUUUUGGAGAGGAUAGUGGUUAAAACGCAGAUUCUCUCACCCCAUCCUGGACCUAUAGAAUCUGAUUCUCUCCGGUGGAACCAGGACUCUGCAUUUAGCCAGUUCCCCAGGAGAAAUUUCUAUAAAGUUUGAGAAUAUCCACAGUCAGGAGGGUUGCCCUGUGCUAUGCUGAAGUUUAUGCAGCACAUAAACUCAGAGCCAGGAUUUAGGACCCAGAAGGGACCAAGAUAGAGAGGAAAGUGACAAAGAGAAGCUUUUCAAAGCAAGACAGAUAUGCCUCAGAAGAGAUGGCAAAGAGCAAGAGAGAGAAAUAAGACUGACAGAGACACAUUGGGAGAAGUCCUCUGAGCUAAGAGAAGGAGGAAUCUGGUAGGACCAGCGUGUACUUUUAUUGAUUAUGGAUUGCCUAUCACUGUAAACACAGCCCUCACUUAAUCCUCACAGCAGUCUGAUGAGGUAGGUCCUAUUGCUCCCGUUUGCUGGAUAAGGAAACUGAGGCAAGGAGAACAAAGGGGAAGAGCCUAGCUUUGACCCCCGGUGGCCUGGCUUUGGAAGGGGUCACAGCUUUAACCACCAGGCUAGGCUGCCUCCUAAGCAGAAAGCUCAGGGACUCAGACUUAGACUCCAAAUUUUUCUCCAUCGCCCUACCUGUGUGACUCUGGGAAGCUUUCUGUGCCUCAGUUGCCUCACCUGCAAAAUGGUGAUAACAAUACCUGUGUCAAGGAGUUCCUGUGGGGCCUUGUCUGAGACGGUACAAGAGCGCAGAGCAGUACCUAGUGCUAGAAGUGCUCCGUAACAGUUAGCUGUCAGUAAAUACCUAGAAAGUCCAGGAAACACAUAAAAGUUUCUCACAAAUGGUGGGUUUCUUGAGGCCUCUUUGCCCUGAACUGGGGCAAAGGAUGGUGUCUUAGUCCAUGUUAUGCUGCUAUAAUAGGAUGCUGCAGACUGGGUAAUUUAUAAUGAAUAGAAAUUUAUCUGGCUAUGAUUCUAGAGACUGGGAAGUCCAAGAGCAUGGAGCUGGCAUCUGGAGAGGGCCCUUGGGCUGCAUCAUCCCAUAGUGGAAGGCAAAAGGAAAACUUCUACUCAUCCAGCAAGACCCAUCUCAGAAGUCACCUUCUCUGUGAAG
rnacentral:lncRNA from 1 species